UACGUAGGAGGCAAGCGUUGUCCGGAUUUAUUGGGCGUAAAGCGCACGCAGGCGGUCGUCUCAGUCCGGGGUGACAGUUUCCGGCUUAACCGGAAAAGGACUCUGGAGACGGCACGACUUGAGGGCUUCAGAGGGAUGUGGAAUUCCAGGUGGAGUGGUGAAAUGCGUAGAGAUCUGGAGGAACACCAAAGGCGAAGGCAACAUCCUGGGGAGUCACUGACGCUCGGGUGCGAAAGCUAGGGGAGCGAACGGG
rnacentral:rRNA from 1 species